rnacentral:rRNA from 1 species
UGGGGAAUAUUGCACAAUGGGCGAAAGCCUGAUGCAGCGACGCCGCGUGAGGGAUGACGGCCUUCGGGUUGUAAACCUCUUUCAGCAGGGACGAAGCGCAAGUGACGGUACCUGCAGAAGAAGCACCGGCUAACUACGUGCCAGCAGCCGCGGUAAUACGUAGGGUGCAAGCGUUGUCCGGAAUUACUGGGCGUAAAGAGUUCGUAGGCGGUUUGUCGCGUCGUUUGUGAAAACCAGCAGCUCAACUGCUGGCUUGCAGGCGAUACGGGCAGACUUGAGUACUGCAGGGGGGACUGGAAUUCCUGGUGUAGCGGUGAAAUGCGCAGAUAUCAGGAGGAACACAGGUGGCGAAGGCGGGUCUCUGGGCAGUAACUGACGCUGAGGAACGAAAGCGUGGGUAGCGAACAGG